UUAAGAGUCAAUUCUUUUUCAGCAGUGUAUUGAUUUUAUCCCAUUUUUAACUUUUUUUGUUUAUUUUUAUAUUGCAUCUUUUCGUGAUAUUAGUUGAAUCUACAUUCUUCUUUUUUUCUAUUAAUUACACCUUUUUUACAUUAAUCUUUAUCGACACCUGCUGCGGAUGUCGAUAUCAUUUCUUUUGUUAUGGCUGUACUAUAGAUUUAAUAUCAAAUUCAAUUUUCUUAUUGAUUACAGCUUUUUUUUACUUUUAGUUUCAUCAACAUCUACCACAUUCGGAAAGUUUAAAAGCUAUUUUUUUGUUCAUUUUGUAUGUAAUAUGUGUAUAAAAGGCCAAUUUCUAAUACUUUUUUUCUUGGUUACACUUUUUUUUAAUCUAUAUCUAUAUCACAAAUAGUAAGUUUAAAAACUAAUUAUUUUUCAGCAGUGUUUUGAUUUUUCUAAAAAAGUCAUUUAUUUUUUUUGAUUUUUAGCUGCAUCUACGUAUGCUUUGAUUAAUAUGUUAAUUAAAAUAUUUCUUUGUUAGCAGAGGUCUAUCUCAUUAAAAUUAUACUAUAGAUUUAAUCCCAAUUUCAUUUUAUUUUUGUUGUUUACAUCAUUUUUUAACUUUUAGUUCCUGCAGCACAAUCUUCUCCAGCUUAAUGUAUAAAUUGAAAUAUUUCUUUAUGAUUGUUCUUCGUUUUUGAAAAACUUUAAUGCUUACUUAUAUUUUAUAAAAGUAUUUUAUUUUAAAUUACUUCUAAAUAAAAGUUUUUAAUUUUUUUUUGUAAAGGUUUAUAUAAAAUGUUUCAUAAUGCUUUCAAAUCUUAACUAUCAGUGAAAAGUAACUAUAAUAAGUUUUGUUAAAAGUAACUAUAAUAACUUUUGACAAGCACUAUGAUAAGUAGGAAAAUGAUAACGUGUUAUCAAAUCUUUAAUAUUGUUAAAAAAAACUUAAAUAAUUUAAGUUUUAAUAAAAAAAAAAAGAUGAAUUUAUACAAACACUUAUCUGCAAAAUAACUUUAAGAUUUAGAUGAUGUGAUGUCUGAAAGAAUUGUUGGCAGAAAACUCUGUCAUGAAUGGUAUGAUAUUGACUCAUCAAAGUCUAUCAUUUAUGAUGGUAAACUAGAAAAAGUAAGCAAAAGACAAAAUGAUAGAAUUUACACUAUUUCUUACUGAAAACAAGAUAAAACUGAUAUUAAAGCUGUUGAACAUAAGAUGAAAAAAAUCAAGGUUUGUGGAUUGCAAAUAGAUACAGCAAGUUUUGUGGUUUGCAAUCAAGAACAACAAGUUUUGUGGCUUGCCAUUAGGUACGGGGCGGAAGGGGGGCAGCUUACACCCCCUUUCAUGAAGACAAUUUAUACAUCACUGUAACGUGAAAUUGGGCGAAAGAAGGGCGGCUUACACCCCUUCCAUGAAGGCAAUUUAUACACCACUAUUUACUAUUUUUCCAAGUAUCAAAAUAUAUUUUUUAUUUUUUUUACUAAAACUAAUUGUUUUAGUAAAGAUUAAAAUAUUUAAAAGAAUGAAAUUUUGAUAGGUUGUGUUAAACCUUAUUUAAAACCCAACACCCGACUUUGAGAUAGACUUGUAAUAUUUGCUAGUGAUGUGGAAUAAAAUAAUAACAAUUUUUUGUAUACAAAUUUUUGUAAUUUUAAAAGAUAAACACUUUUUUAUGAAAAAAAGUGUAUUUUUAUAAGGUAAAGGUGGUGGAUUAGCACCCCCUCCGGAUUCCUGGAUGCGCCCUUGACCUAAAAUCUAGUUAAAAAUUAUAGCCCUUUUUUACACCUAUCUUUUGAUACCAAGUUAUAAAUAUUUGAAUAAGAAUUAGCAAAGCUAUAACAAUUUAUGUGAAAAAAAAUUUUUUUUGACCACAUUUUUAUCAAGAAAUCCAUAUCUAAAAUUUGCUAUUUAAAACGUCAUAACUUUUGAUAGAAUUGUCUGAUUUUCAUAAUUUUUUCACCUUUGAAAUACUGUAUUUGAGGGCUUUUUAAUGAUAUAUAACAUUCUAGUAUUUGAUCAAUUUAAAAAAAUCAGUCCACGUACC
rnacentral:misc_RNA from 1 species